rnacentral:rRNA from 1 species
UGAUGCAGNAAUGCCGCGUGUGUGAAGAAGGCUGCGGGUUGUAAAGCAYUUUCAGUAGGGAGGAAAMUGUAACGGAAUAAUACCCGUUACCYUGACGUUACCUACAGAAGAAGCACCGGCUAACUCUGUGCCAGCAGCCGCGGUAAUACAGAGGGYGCAAGCGUUAAUCGGAAUUACUGGGCGUAAAGCGCGCGUAGGCGGCYUGGUCAGUCGGAUGUGAAAGCCCUGGGCUUAACCUGGGAAUUGCAUUCGAUACUGCCAGGCUAGAAUGUAGUAGAGGGAAGUGGAAUUCCGGGUGUAGCGGUGCAAAUGCGCUAGAUAUCCGGAGGAACAUCCAGUGGCGAAGGCGACUUCCUGGACUAACA